ACUGUGUUCUUUAAGACAAUAUAAUGUUCACAUUUACUUUUCCCUUUCAAGUUGUAAAUCUUCAGAUAUUGAUGCUUUCGCCAUCAGAUCCGCCAAUUCUUUGUUGCUGAUGAGAGAGAGAAUUCAUCAUUUUGUGUGCAACAGUUUUAAUGAUUUUUAUUUCUAAUUUAAAUUUUGCUUUAUAUUUUGCAUUUAGACCGAAUGAGAACCAUUUUGUUGCCCAUCCAAGGAUAAGGAAAAGGCCAACACCACCAACACGGUCAACAAGGUUCUUUGUUUGUUUACCCUUUGGCUGGUGAAAGAUUGUUGUGCAUCAAGUUAACCUGUGGCUGUUCCUUGUUGCUGGUGUCUUGUUACGGAAGUUGCAGGCAGUUUAGCGUUUAUGUUCGCGUAGUUGCUGUCCGAUGUGGGCGUGGCACGUUGUUGCAGCCUAUGAGCAGCUGGUGUCUGGUGAAAGAUCUUUCUGCAUCAAGUUCAACUGGUUGUUCCUUGGUGGUGGUGUUGUGUACCAAAAUUGCAUCAUUACAUUGUUAAUUUGUCAUUGUGUCUAUGUAGUUAUCGUUUAUAAGUUAAGAAGCAUCAAAAAGAAAUAUGGGAUGUUCAUGUCAAACAAAUAAUAAACAUUUUUGGGGGAUUGGGAAAGGACAGUGGAGUAUGUUGGAGGGAGGGGUAAUUCAAGUUUGGAUAAAAAAUUAGUUAAUCUAUAACCCUACAAACAUAUCCCUACCAAUUAAUCUCCAAACCCCUUCCAAUUCUUCAAAUAACCCCAAAAACAUGCACAUUUUAAUCCUUAAAUUUCUACCCUAAAACCACACAAACCAAUUUUAAACCCAAACAAUGUAGUGUCAAUAAUGAAUAAAAAAUUUGUAUUUUAAACCAG